rnacentral:rRNA from 1 species
AUUGAACGCUGGCGGCAUGCCUUACACAUGCAAGUCGAACGGCAGCGGGGACUUCGGUCCGCCGGCGAGUGGCGAACGGGUGAGUAAAGUAUCGGAACGUACCUUUCAGUGGGGGAUAACGUAGCGAAAGUUACGCUAAUACCGCAUAUUCUGUGAGCAGGAAAGCAGGGGAUCGCAAGACCUCUCGCUGAUUGAGCGGCCGAUAUCAGAUUAGCUAGUUGGUGGGGUAAAGGCCUACCAAGGCUACGAUCUGUAGCGGGUCUGAGAGGAUGAUCCGCCACACUGGGACUGAGACACGGCCCAGACUCCUACGGGAGGCAGCAGUGGGGAAUUUUGGACAAUGGGGGCAACCCUGAUCCAGCCAUGCCGCGUGAGUGAAGAAGGCCUUCGGGUUGUAAAGCUCUUUCGGCCGGGAAGAAAUCGCACAGGCUAAUACCUUGUGUGGAUGACGGUACCGGAAUAAGAAGCACCGGCUAACUACGUGCCAGCCGCCGCGGUAA